GAGAAUGGACAAGCUUGAUACUGUUUUUAGCUGUCCUUUCUGCAAUCAUGGGACCAGUGUCGAAUGUCGCAUUGAUAUGAAGAACCUGAUUGGGGAAGCCUCCUGUAGGAUUUGCCAAGAAAGCUUUAGCACGACUAUUACAGCCUUGAGUGAGGCAAUUGACAUAUAUAGUGAAUGGAUCGAUGAAUGUGAGCGGGUCAACACCCUUGAAGAUGAUGCUGCAUAGAGGGAUUAAUUGGGGAAGGUUGAAGUUCGAAGUUCCUUUAUGAACCUAAAUUAAGAGGGGGGUCUUACUGGUAGGUAUUACAACACUUUUACCCUCGUAGCAGUAUCGUCUAGACAAACAUGUAUGUAUAGUAGCGUGUUGUAACGGCUUGCACUUUGACUUUAUUCCGAAUUUUACGUAUUUGUAACUUGCUUUCAUGAUUUUUGAAUUACGAAUCUUGGAGUUGGUAUGUGCGGAUGGAAAGUGGGGUCCUGAACCAACCAUCCUUUAUUAUUACGAAUAAUUGAAGCUUCUUGUAAAUGUAAUGUUUAAGUAUGUUCUUUUUCUUUAAUGGUU
rnacentral:misc_RNA from 1 species